AGCGUAGGCGGACUUUUAAGUGAGAUAUGAAAUACCCGGGCUCAACUUGGGUGCUGCAUUUCAAACUGGAAGUCUAGAGUGCAGGAGAGGAGAAUGGAAUUCCUAGUGUAGCGGUGAAAUGCGUAGAGAUUAGGAAGAACACCAGUGGCGAAGGCGAUUCUCUGGACUGUAACUGACGCUGAGGCUCGAAAGCGUGGGAGGCAAACA
rnacentral:rRNA from 1 species